rnacentral:lncRNA from 1 species
AGUUUUAACGGUAAAACUUCCGCCGUUAUUUUCAAAAAAAUAUUUUUGUCGUUUUCUCAAUCCGACAAUAAUUCCGUUGUGGGGUCCACCAAUGAUUGUACCAUCGUAGGGAUAUUCCCCGACAAAAAGAAUAUUCCCCGACCAAUCGAAUAUUAUACAACAACUUGCAUACUUUUCAAAAUUUAUAAAUAUUACACACAACUAUAACAUUAUCUCAAAUCCACA